AUUGAACGCUGGCGGCAUGCCUUACACAUGCAAGUCGAACGGCAGCACGGGAGCAAUCCUGGUGGCGAGUGGCGAACGGGUGAGUAAUGUAUCGGAACGUGCCCAGUCGUGGGGGAUAACGUAGCGAAAGCUACGCUAAUACCGCAUACGAUCUAUGGAUGAAAGCGGGGGAUCGCAAGACCUCGCGCGAUUGGAGCGGCCGAUAUCAGAUUAGGUAGUUGGUGGGGUAAAGGCUCACCAAGCAGACGAUCUGUAGCUGGUCUGAGGGGACGACCAGCCACACUGGGACUGAGACACGGCCCAGACUCCUACGGGAGGCAGCAGUGGGGAAUUUUGGACAAUGGGCGCAAGCCUGAUCCAGCAGUGCCGCGUGCAGGAUGAAGGCCUUCGGGUUGUAAACUGCUUUUGUACGGAACGAAACGGCGAGCUCUAAUACAGUUUGCUAAUGACGGUACCGUAAGAAUAAGCACCGGCUAACUACGUGCCAGCCGCCGCCGUAA
rnacentral:rRNA from 1 species